rnacentral:rRNA from 1 species
GAUGAACGCUGGCGGCGUGCCUAAUACAUGCAAGUCGAGCGAACAGACGAGGAGCUUGCUCCUCUGACGUUAGCGGCGGACGGGUGAGUAACACGUGGAUAACCUACCUAUAAGACUGGGAUAACUUCGGGAAACCGGAGCUAAUACCGGAUAAUAUAUUGAACCGCAUGGUUCAAUAGUGAAAGACGGUUUUGCUGUCACUUAUAGAUGGAUCCGCGCCGCAUUAGCUAGUUGGUAAGGUAACGGCUUACCAAGGCAACGAUGCGUAGCCGACCUGAGAGGGUGAUCGGCCACACUGGAACUGAGACACGGUCCAGACUCCUACGGGAGGCAGCAGUAGGGAAUCUUACGCAAUGGGCGAAAGCCUGACGGAGCAACGCCGCGUGAGUGAUGAAGGUCUUCGGAUCGUAGAACUCUGUUAUUAGGGAAGAACAAAUGUGUAAGUAACUAUGCACAUAUUGACGGUACCGAAUCAGAAAGCCACGGCUAACUACGUG